UACGAAGGAUGCAAGCGUUAUCCGGAUUUAUUGGGUUUAAAGGGUGCGUAGGCGGACUUAUAAGUCAGUGGUGAAAUCUCGAUGCUUAACAUCGAACGUGCCAUUGAUACUGUAGGUCUUGAGUACAGAUGCCGUUGGCGGAAUGUGUCAUGUAGCGGUGAAAUGCAUAGAUAUGACACAGAACACCGAUUGCGAAGGCAGCUGACGAAACUGUAACUGACGCUGAGGCACGGAAAGCGUGGGGAUCGAAACAGG
rnacentral:rRNA from 1 species